UGGGAUUUUUUGGAUCCCUAACCACCGAUGCUCUCGCCCCCUCCACACUCCAUCGAUCUCCUCCGUCACCUCCAUCGCUCCCACGCACCGGUCCGCUGCUGCCCGCUGGGUUUCCGGCGUUGGUAGCUCGUUCCCCCAUCACAGCCGCCGCCCGGCCUCUCCGAUUUGUCGUGGUCGCAGCUCUUGCCUUUUUUAUAUCGUCCCACCAUUCGGGAUAGCCUAUGAGCAAAAAACACCCAUCUUUUCUAUGUUUCUUGCCUCCACAGUGCGAGCAAGUCAGCCGGCUCUUGUCGUCGUCCAGCCGCUUGUUCCACGGCCGAUUGGCGGCUCUUGGUGGGAGAACGGAUCGGCUGCGGGCUGCGAGACCAGAGGCUAUUCCUUGAUUUUUGGCUUCAAUUGCGGGAAUCAAAUCGUUUGUGGAUUCCUUGAUUUCACUCGACGAUUCGGAGUGAUGAAUCUUGGUUGUUUUGUUUGGUAUGGUGCCGAGGCUUUGUCUCAGAAAUGCCGCAAAUUGUGCGGCGAGAUCGGCUCCAAACGUUGGCUAAUUUGGUGUUUCUGGGUUUGUUGUUUCUGUAUUAGAAAGCACGGAUUCUGACAUGAUUUCUUUUGGUUGUUUGCAGGUCGCAAAGGGUAGGGAAAGGUAUAUUACGGACGAUGAUGAAUUUUUUUCUGAGUCCAUACCUGCUCUGAUACCAUCUUAACGAUGGUAAUCGAGAGACUUAGACUGACUGUGCAUAUUGAAAGCUAUUGGAGUGAAAUGGAACUUCCCUCUCGAAUUCAUGAUUGAGGAGGCCUCUCUCCGGAGUCCGGGACUGGUGGUUAGGUUGAAGCUCAAUAGUGAGAGGACUCUGGGAGACAGGUAUAUCGGUGAGGUCAAUAUAUCGGUCAAGGGUCUCUUCGACUACGGACCUAGGGUUGAAAAUGUGUUGACCUAGACCGUGGAUGGGGCCGGGGAAGGGAAGCUUAAUAUUUUGUAUAGUUUUGGAAACAUGUUUAUGGCGCCAAAGCUCUCCUUUGGAGAGAAGGUGCUUGAUGUUGGUCUCACGGUGAUGGAACAAAGGACGUUGUUCUUCUUGUCUGAAGACUUUUAAUGUUGUUUUAUCAUGUCAAGCAUAGCUUGUUUUACAAUUUCUAGACUAUUGAUAAUUUGUGGUAAUAGUAUCAUGCUGUUUUAUCAUGUCAAA